UUAAUAAUAGAGAUGCCAUCAUUCAAUCAGUCACCAAACAGAAAAGAUUAGCUGGUCCCUGCGAAAAGAUGACACUCGCAAAUCGAGAAAUGGUCCAAAUAAUU